rnacentral:rRNA from 1 species
CUACAGAGGGUGCAAGCGUUAUUCGGAAUCACUGGGCGUAAAGAGUACGUAGGCGGUUUGUUAAGUUAGAUGUGAAAGCCCCGGGCUUAACCUGGGAACUGCAUUUAAAACUGGCGAACUAGAGUUGGGUAGAGGGAAGUGGAAUUUCAGGUGUAGCGGUGAAAUGCGUAGAGAUCUGAAGGAACACCAGUGGCGAAGGCGACUUCCUGGACUCAAACUGACGCUGAGGUACGAAAGCGUGGGUAGCAAACGGGAUUAGAUACCCUAGUAGUCC